rnacentral:rRNA from 1 species
GAUGAACGCUGGCGGCGUGCCUAAUACAUGCAAGUCGAGCGAAUGGAUUAAGAGCUUGCUCUUAUGAAGUUAGCGGCGGACGGGUGAGUAACACGUGGGUAACCUGCCCAUAAGACUGGGAUAACUCCGGGAAACCGGGGCUAAUACCGGAUAACAUUUUGAACCGCAUGGUUCGAAAUUGAAAGGCGGCUUCGGCUGUCACUUAUGGAUGGACCCGCGUCGCAUUAGCUAGUUGGUGAGUGAACGGCUCACCAAGGCAACGAUGCGGAGCCGACCUGAGAGGGUGAUCGGCCACACUGGGACUGAGACACGGCCCAGACUCCUACGGGAGGCAGCAGUAGAGAAUCUUCCGCAAUGGACGAAAGUCUGACGGAGCAACGCCGCGUGAGUGAUGAAGGCUUUCGGGUCGUAAAACUCUGUUGUUAGGGAAGAACAAGUGCUAGUUGAAUAAGCUGGCACCUUGACGGUACCUAACCAGAAAGCCACGGCUAACUACGUGCCAGCCGCCGCGGUAA